UGCAGUCGACGCGAAAGCACCUUCGGGUGUGAGUAGAGUGGCGGACGGGUGAGUAAUACUUGGGAAUCUGCCUAGUAGUGGGGGAUAACUCGGGGAAACUCGAGCUAAUACCGCAUACGCCCUACGGGGGAAAGAUUUAUCGCUAUUAGAUGAGCCCAAGUCAGAUUAGCUAGUUGGUAGGGUAAAGGCCUACCAAGGCAACGAUCUGUAGCUGGUCUGAGAGGACGAACAGCCACACUGGGACUGAGACACGGCCCAGACUCCUACGGGAGGCAGCAGUGGGGAAUAUUGGACAAUGGGCGAAAGCCUGAUCCAGCAAUGCCGCGUGUGUGAAGAAGGCCUGCGGGUUGUAAAGCACUUUCAGUUGGGAAGAUUAUGACGUUACCAACAGAAGAAGCACCGGCUAACUCCGUGCCAGCAGCCGCGGUAAUACG
rnacentral:rRNA from 1 species